UACGGGGGGGGCAAGCGUUGUUCGGAAUUACUGGGCGUAAAGGGCUGGUAGGCGGCCAACUAAGUCGGAUGUGAAAUCCCCAGGCUUAACCUGGGAACUGCAUCCGAUACUGGAUGGCUUGAAUUCGGGAGAGGGAUGCAGAAUUCCAGGUGUAGCGGUGAAAUGCGUAGAUAUCUGGAGGAAUACCGGUGGCGAAGGCGGCAUCCUGGACCGAGAUUGACGCUGAUGAGCGAAAGCUAGGGGAGCAAACGGG
rnacentral:rRNA from 1 species